rnacentral:rRNA from 1 species
AGUGAACGCUGGCGGUAUGCCUAACACAUGCAAGUCGAACGGCAGCACAGUAAGAGCUUGCUCUUACUGGUGGCGAGUGGCGGACGGGUGAGGAAUACAUCGGCAUCUACUUUUUCUUGGGGGAUAACGUAGGGACACUUACGCUAAUACCGCAUACUAUCUACGGGUUAAAGCAGGGGAUCUUCACACCUUUCGCGUUUCAUUUAGCCGAUGUCGGAUUAGCUAGUUGGCGGGGUAAAGGCCCACCAAGGCGACGAUCCGUAGCUGGUCUGAGAGGAUGAUCAGCCACACUGGAACUGAGACACGGUCCAGACUCCUACGGGAGGCAGCAGUGGGGAAUAUUGGACAAUGGGCGAAAGCCUGAUCGAGCAACACCGCGUGGGUGAAGAAGGCCUUCGGGUUGUAAAGCCCUUUUGUUGGGAAAGAAAAGCAGCAGAUGGAUACCCGGAUGUUCUGACGGUACCCAAAGAAUAAGCACCGGCUAACUUCGUG